CUUGGUCAUUUAGAGGAAGUAAAAGUCGUAACAAGGUUUCCGUAGGUGAACCUGCGGAAGGAUCAUUAGUGAAUUAAACAUGCUUGGUGUCUUCGCUUCGGCAAGGCCCUUGCUUAACUCACAUCCCAACACCUGUGAACUGUAAGGCGCAUGACUAGGUUCGCCCAAGUCAUCGUCUGCCCUUUUUAACAAACAAUUAAUGUAACAAACGUAGUCUUAUUAUAACCUAAUAAAACUUUCAACAACGGAUCUCUUGGCUCUCGCAUCGAUGAAGAACGCAGCGAAAUGCGAUAAGUAAUGUGAAUUGCAGAAUUCAGUGAAUCAUCGAAUCUUUGAACGCACCUUGCGCUCUUUGGUAUUCCGAAGAGCAUGCCUGUUUGAGUGUCAUGAAAAUAUCAACCUUGACUUGGGUUUUGUGCUCUAGUCUCGGCUUGGAAUUGGGUGCCUGCCGCUUUUACGAGCGGCUCACCUUAAAUGUAUUAGCUGGAUCUGUCUUUGAGACUUGGUUUGACUUGGCGUAAUAAGUAUUUCGCUAAGGACAUUCUUCGGAGUGGCCUCGUUUCUAGGACGCUUGUCCGCUUUCCAAUACAAGUUCCACCUCGUGGACAUGACUUUUUAUUAUCUGGCCUCAAAUCAGGUAGGACUACCCGCUGAACUUAAGCAUAUCAAUAAGCGGAGG
rnacentral:rRNA from 1 species